CUCUCUCUCUAGCUCUCUCUUUCUGUCUCUUUUUUUUAGGCAACAACCAUUCUGGAAUAAACCUGUUCUGCUCUGGCUUGGGAGAGCAUGGACUAUUCCUGCCUCUUUAUCAACCGCUGGUAUUUCUCUUCUGUACCUUUCAGAAGGACUCUGGAUGUUCCUAAUGACCAGAAAAAGGACGUAGGAAAAAGUGAAGCACAGAGAUAAGUAUCUCAAAGAAGGGUCUCCAGUACUGUCCGGCACGUUCCCGUGGCACUGUGUGUCCUCUCCUUCUGUGGACUGUGGGGACCGACUCCAGUACACUGUUCCCCAGACAGACAACGGCUCAAGUCCACAUGAAGCAAAGAAACACAGCAUGAAUUUGUGAGGCUUACAGAGGACCACAGGCAC
rnacentral:lncRNA from 1 species